AUACUCGAUAAGGGAUUUAAAUUGUUCUCAUUCCAAUUGCCAGACCUGUAAAGGCCCGGCAUUGUUAUUUAUUGUCACUACCUCCCUGUGUCAGGAUUGGGUAAUUUACGCG
rnacentral:rRNA from 1 species